UGCCUGGCACAUCAUGCAGUAACUUUGAGCGCAUCGUUGCCCGGUCCUGUCGCCGGUGGUGUGGUGUUCGGAGUAGGCUGUCGGUCAGGCGUGACACAGGGCCGGGUAGUGCACUCGGUCCCUAUGAGCUGGG
rnacentral:ribozyme from 1 species